rnacentral:tRNA from 1 species
UGAGGUGUAGCUCAGUGGUAGAGUAUUUGCCUAGCAUGUAUGAGGCCCAGGGUUCAACCCUCAGUACCACAA